rnacentral:rRNA from 1 species
AUUGAACGCUGGCGGCAGGCCUAACACAUGCAAGUCGAGCGCGCGGCGGACGGGUGUGAAAUGUGUGGGAAACUGCCCGAGGGAGGGGGAUAAAACCAGGACACGCGAGCUCUAAUCGCAUACCCCAACAUGUGUGCAGAUGGGAUUAGCUAGUAGGUGGGGGAACGGCGCACCCAGGCGACGAUCCCUAGCUGGUCUGAGAGGAUGAGCAGCCACACUGGAACGGAGACACGGUCCAGACUCCUACGGGAGGCAGCAGUGGGGAAUAUUGGACAAUGGGCGCAAGCCUGAUGCAGCCAUGCCGCGUGUGUGAAGAAGGCCUUCGGGUUGUAAAGCACUUUCAGCGGGGAGGCGUUACCCGCAGAAGAAGCACCGGCUAACUCCGUGCCAGCAGCCGCGGUAAUUC